CAGCAGCCGCGGUAAUACGUAGGUGGCAAGCGUUGUCCGGAAUUAUUGGGCGUAAAGGGCUCGCAGGCGGUUUCUUAAGUCUGAUGUGAAAGCCCCCGGCUCAACCGGGGAGGGUCAUUGGAAACUGGGAAACUUGAGUGCAGAAGAGGAGAGUGGAGUUCCACGUGUAGCGGUGAAAUGCGUAGAGAUGUGGAGGAACACCAGUGGCGAAGGCGACUCUCUGGUCUGUAACUGACGCUGAGGAGCGAAAGCGUGGGGAGCGAACAGGAUUAGAUACCCGAGUAGUCCCUGUCUCUUAUAC
rnacentral:rRNA from 1 species